UACACCAAGACGACAAACCUCACUCGUAC
rnacentral:sRNA from 1 species